CCUACGGGAGGCAGCAGUAGGGAAUCUUCCACAAUGGGCGAAAGCCUGAUGCAGCAACGCCGCGUGGGUGAAGAAGGUCUUCGGAUCGUAAAACCCUGUUUUUAGAGAAGAAAGUGCUUGAGAGUAACUGUUCACGUUUCUACGUUAUCUAACCAGAAAGCCACGGCUAACUACGUGCCAGCAGCCGCGGUAAUACGUAGGUGGCAAGCGUUAUCCGGAUUUAUUGGGAGUAAAGGGAACGCAGGCGGUCUUUUAAGUCUGAUGGGAACGCCUUCGUCUUAACCGGAGUAGUGCAUUGGAAACUGGGAGACUGGAGUGCAGAAGAGGUGAGUGGAACUCCAUGUGUAGCGGGGAAAUGCGUAGAUAUAUGGAAGAACACCAGUGGCGAAAGCGGCUCUCUGGUCUGUAACUGACGCUGAGGUUCGAAAGCGUGGGUAGCAAACAGGAUUAGAUACCCCAGUAGUC
rnacentral:rRNA from 1 species